GGAGUUGCUCUGCUCCCCUGCCCAACACCCCCCUCACCGCUGCCAGGCACAGCCCUGAUGCCCACCCCAACUCUGUGACCCCCACUUGACUCUAGCCCCCUUCCUCUGCCCACCCCUAGCCUGACUCUGCACCCCCUCAUCCCAACUCUGCACCCCUCCCCCACCCACUCUCACCCCAACGCUGCACCCCUUUCCCUGCCCCCACCAGGGACACUCCCCCAUAGCCCCCCCAGACAGGGGCACCUGCAGCCUCACACACCCUGCCUGUACCCAGCCCCGGGGCUGCAGUGGGGAUCCCCUUUGCUGGCCAGGCUGGACCUAUCGCUAGAGUGAGCAGCCAGCCUCAACCCACAUCGCGUGCUGCCGCGUUCCACCUUAAAGCCCGGCCAGCGCUUGCACUUCACCACCAGUAACCUUCCGCGGCCACCGGAGAGGGGGCGGAGCCACACGCUCAUUUAAAUAAUACUGCGGCUGAUUUGCAUGCUACCAAGAUGGCCGACGUUCGGAUUGGCCAGCGAUGAAACAGCCCCCACGGCCGCUCCCCGAUCCCACAGAGGGGCGUGGCCAGUGAUCAGAGGGCGGGGAUGUGGGGCUCAUUUGCAUAACGGCCCGACGCGUGCAGCUAGGGGAAGGCGGCUGUAUAGGGUUCUGUUUUUGAAUCUGCAGCGGAAGCGGCGAGAGACGGGAGCGCGAGCGCUGAGGCUGCGGCGGGAUUCACGGACACAGGUGCGGGAGUUUCGCUGCAUGGGCUGUCGUGGGCCACAGGUAGGUGCUAGAUGGGCGGGGCGUAGCUGGGGCUCAGCACUGACUCCCUGAGGCCAUCACCAUUCAGGGAGCAACAAGCAGAUGCCUCUGGGUUCUGCUGGGCGCAGGGGACUGGAAGCUGCUGCCACAGACUCCUGUCCUUGUCCUUAUACAUGGGACCUGAGAAGGAGUUUUCCUGCACCUUGUGCUAAGCAGAGGGCUUGUGGGGAGUAACCUGGGGAGAUGGCAGCAAUUAGUGAAGGUGUCUGUGGGAGGUCAGUGGUGGGUCAAGAUGAGCAAGGUCUCAAAAGCAAAUGUUUCCAGGCUUAUUUCUGAUCUGGUAAUAUUAUUAUGCAUGCAGGUGUUAAUGCAUUUAUAAAUGCCAUAGAUGCGGUCCUUGAUGUCUUACUAAUCUGUGAAGUGUCCAGGAGAAAACCAUUCCUAUCAUUAAACUCCUUAAUAUCUCAAUAUGUGAUACCACGAAUAUGGCUUUUGAAAAGAUUUUCGUAGCAGAGGUUAACUUACUAAAAAUGAGGGCAUUUCCAUGUUGACAUGGGAAAGUUGGCAUAGCUAUGCAUUAUUUAAGUUGCACCAUAACUAUUGUACAGUAGACUAGGUGAACUGAACAAAGAACAGAAUCUCUGCCUCAAGUUGCAGCGAGGCCCACAUAGAACAAAUGUGACACAGAACAAACUGCUGGGCAGUAAAAUUAAGCUAUAGCCUUCAUACAUAAAGCACAGGGUUCCAAGUUUUAGAAUUAAUCUUUUAACUCAUAUGUUCAAAAAUAUGUUGUAAUUUUGUACUUCGUGCAUUUAGUUGAGACAUGGCAAUCAUGUUAAAAGUAUUGCAGUUGUCUUCAUUCUUUGUUUCUCCAAGUUGGUAUAUUUCUUCCCGAUUACUUUUUUAGUGCCUGUCGGAUAUUCUAGUAAAGAUAUUGCCAUUGGCUGUGGUAUUGCAUAAUAUUUCAUCCUAUUGUACUGCUCAUGUGACUUGUUUAAUAACAUUUUUCAGGUGUAAAGAUGUAGGUUAAAAUGGAGGAGGGGAACAUAAACAUUGCACACUACAAUGGUGGGGGAGAGGCUGUUCAGUUUAAAAUUGUUACCUUCAUGCAGCCCCAGACAAACAACACUUGCAUAUCUAGACAUAAUUAAGUCUGUCUAUAAUUGUCAGUAAUCAGACAAUACAUUAAAAGUAAAUAUAUAAUUGGUCAGUUUCCUAAAGUAAAUGUAAGUAAGCAUAACAUUUUUAUGAACCAUGUACUUUCAACUGAAUUACUGCAUGCAACAGUAGUAUAGUACAACUUCCCUUUGUUGACAAGAUAUUUUGAAUUAUUCCAUAAAUUCAAAUACAUCUUUGGUAUCAUACAUAAAAUAACCUAACUGUUUCAAAUAAAACUUCCACAGAAGUUAAUACUUGAUAGAUA
rnacentral:lncRNA from 1 species